rnacentral:misc_RNA from 1 species
GUCGUUUUGUUGUCUGGGAUUUUUUUCCCAUUGGAAAUUAGGCUUCUUCUGUUCUGUGUUUCUUUAGGUUUUUGAGGUUUUUUGAUAUUGUUGAAUUUUAGAUUCUUAAAGUUGGGUUGAGAUGGAUGCAGACUUAUCUCCAGGUUUUGUUACUGGAGAAAAGGAUCUAUUUAAAUCUUUAAGGUCACCGUUGUUGACACAGAACAAGGAUAAUGAUAUGUUCACACUAAUAGCCGACUCUAGAAUGUGUUUGGUCGCUUGAACGUUGAGCUGCUACUUUGCUGCCCUUUACUUUCAUUUUUCUCCUGUUUGAUUAUUGAAACUAUUGUCCUAUUACUGGCUUAUGUUGGUGAAAUUGAG